GAGUGACUUCUAGUGAUCACCUGUGUGGAGGGAACUUGUUUAGCUUCGCUUGAUUUUCAAAUGAGGUGCUGCUUCCUAAGCUGAAUCAUGUGCUCCCAAUUAAUCUAAAGGAGAGACAUGAAAAUGAUUGAUUAUACUCUGCUAGCUGUGACCCUGACAAGAGAGAGAAAGAGAGGGAGAGACAGAGACAGAGACAGAGACAGAGACGGGGUUUGAGACUGCUGUUCCCAAAGACAAUGCAGUUGGGCAGGUAUCAGCCACCAAAGGCUUAUUAAAAAUGGGUCAGGAACAAGGCAUUGAGGGUAAAACUGAUAAAACAAGAAAAGGUGCUUGGUCUCCAGGUUGCUACAGUCUCUUGGGAGAUACAACUGCACAUGGAUGAAUAACCAAGGGAAGAACCGAGAAUCCAAGGCAAGACAACCCCAAAGGCUCCAGGGAAACCUGAAGAUGAAGAGCCCAGUUUUAGCUGGGGAUGUGGGAGCCUGAGCAGGACCUCAAUCAAAGCUCAGAAUUGCAGGGGAAUGGAGGUGCUUCCCAGGCUCUCCUUGCCAUUGGUCAUCAUCUUCCUUAACCUGUUGUUAUUCUUUUUGUCUAUACCCGAUUGUCCACCUCAUCCAGGGAUGUGCUGAUGAGUGUUUAACAAAAUACUACUAAUAAAAGAAUGUUGAGCACACUUUUAUGUUUACA
rnacentral:lncRNA from 1 species